rnacentral:rRNA from 1 species
CCUACGGGAGGCAGCAGUAAGGAAUAUUGGACAAUGGGCGCAAGCCUGAUCCAGCCAUGCCGCGUGAAGGAUUAAGGUCCUCUGGAUUGUAAACUUCUUUUAUAGGGGACGAAAAAAGGGCAUUCUUGCUCACUUGACGGUACCCUAUGAAUAAGCACCGGCUAACUCCGUGCCAGCAGCCGCGGUAAUACGGAGGGUGCAAGCGUUAUCCGGAUUCACUGGGUUUAAAGGGUGCGUAGGCGGGCAGUUAAGUCAGUGGUGAAAUCUCCGAGCUCAACUCGGAAACUGCCAUUGAUACUAUCUGUCUUGAAUAUUGUGGAGGUAAGCGGAAUAUGUCAUGUAGCGGUGAAAUGCUUAGAUAUGACAUAGAACACCUAUUGCGAAGGCAGCUUACUACGCAUAUAUUGACGCUGAGGCACGAAAGCGUGGGGAUCAAACAGGAUUAGAUACCCUGGUAGUCCACGCCCUAAACGAUGGAUACUCGACAUACGCGAUACACUGUGUGUGUCUGAGCGAAAGCAUUAAGUAUCCCACCUGGGAAGUACGUCCGCAGGAUGAACUUAAUGAAUUGACCGGNAGAGUUGCCGAGGCACACGAGGGAGUAGGG